GUGAGGAAUAUUGGUCAAUGGGCGGGAGCCUGAACCAGCCAAGUCGCGUGAAGGAAGAAGGAUCUAUGGUUCGUAAACUUCUUUUGCAGGGGAAUAAAGUGCAGGACGUGUCCUGUUUUGUAUGUACCCUGAGAAUAAGGAUCGGCUAACUCCGUGCCAGCAGCCGCGGUAAUACGGAGGAUCCGAGCGUUAUCCGGAUUUAUUGGGUUUAAAGGGUGCGUAGGUGGUUUGAUAAGUCAGCGGUGAAAGUUUGCAGCUUAACUGUAAAAAUGCCGUUGAAACUGUCGGACUCGAGUGUAAAUGAGGUAGGCGGAAUGCGUGGUGUAGCGGUGAAAUGCAUAGAUAUCUCGCAGAACUCCGAUUGCGAAGGCAGCUUACUAAGCUACAACUGACACUGAAGCACGAAAGCGUGGGGAUCAAACAGGAUUAGAUACCCUUGUAGUCC
rnacentral:rRNA from 1 species